UACGUAGGGUGCAAGCGUUAAUCGGAAUUACUGGGCGUAAAGCGUGCGCAGGCGGUUUAGUAAGGCAGGCGUGAAAUCCCCGGGCUCAACCUGGGAACUGCGCUUGUGACUGCAGAGCUAGAGUGUGUCAGAGGGAGGUAGAAUUCCGCGUGUAGCAGUGAAAUGCGUAGAUAUGCGGAGGAAUACCGGUGGCGAAGGCGGCCUCCUGGGAUGAGACUGACGCUCAUGUACGAAAGCGUGGGGAGCAAACAGG
rnacentral:rRNA from 1 species